rnacentral:rRNA from 1 species
CCUACGGGUGGCAGCAGUAGGGAAUUUUCCACAAUGGGCGCAAGCCUGAUGGAGCAACGCCGCGUGGGUGAAGAAGGUCUUCGGAUCGUAAAACCCUGUUGUUAGAGAAGAAAGUGCGUGAGAGUAACUGUUCACGUUUCGACGGUAUCUAACCAGAAAGCCACGGCUAACUACGUGCCAGCAGGCGCGGUAAUACGUUGGUGGCAAGCGUUAUCCGGAUUUAUUGGGCGUAAAGGGAACGCAGGCGGGCUUUUAAGUCUGAUGUGAAAGCCUUCGGCUUAACCGGAGUAGUGCAUUGGAAACUGGGGGACUUGAGUGCAGAAGAGGAGAAUGGAACUCCAAGUGUAGCGGUGAAAGGCGUAGAUAUAAGGAAGAACACCAGUGGCGAAGGCGGCUCGCUGGUCUGUAACUGACGCUGAGGUGCGAAAGCGUGGGUAGCAAACAGGAUUAGAUACCCUAGUAGUC